UUUCCGUAGGUGAACCUGCGGAAGGAUCAUUAAUGUAACCGGACCGUUCCUUUGCCGUAAAACGCACUGGAUUGGGGAGGGAGAUAUCAUACACCCUAUGUUUAUUUACUUUUGUUGCUUUGGUGGGCCGUCCUUUACGGAGUCGGCCUCGGCUGAUCGCGCCCGCCAGAGGACCCAAACUCUUUUAUUAGUGAUGUCUGAGUACUAUAUAAUAGUUAAAACUUUCAACAACGGAUCUCUUGGUUCUG
rnacentral:misc_RNA from 1 species